GAUGAACGCUGGCGGCGUGCCUAAUACAUGCAAGUCGAGCGAACGGACGAGAAGCUUGCUUCUCUGAUGUUAGCGGCGGACGGGUGAGUAACACGUGGAUAACCUACCUAUAAGGCUGGGAUAACUUCGGGAAACCGGAGCUAAUACCGGAUAAUAUUUUGAACCGCAUGGUUCAAAAGUGAAAGACGGUCUUGCUGUCACUUAUAGAUGGAUCCGCGCUGCAUUAGCUAGUUGGUAAGGUAACGGCUUACCAAGGCAACGAUGCAUAGCCGACCUGAGAGGGUGAUCGGCCACACUGGAACUGAGACACGGUCCAGACUCCUACGGGAGGCAGCAGUAGGGAAUCUUCCGCAAUGGGCGAAAGCCUGACGGAGCAACGCCGCGUGAGUGAUGAAGGUCUUCGGAUCGUAAAACUCUGUUAUUAGGGAAGAACAUAUGUGUAAGUAACUGUGCACAUCUUGACGGUACCUAAUCAGAAAGCCACGGCUAACUACGUGCCAGCAGCCGCGGUAAUACGUAGGUGGCAAGCGUUAUCCGGAAUUAUUGGGCGUAAAGCGCGCGUAGGCGGUUUUUUAAGUCUGAUGUGAAAGCCCACGGCUCAACCGUGGAGGGUCAUUGGAAACUGGAAAACUUGAGUGCAGAAGAGAAAAGUGGAAUUCCAUGUGUAGCGGUGAAAUGCGCAGAGAUAUGGAGGAACACCAGUGGCGAAGGCGACUUUCUGGUCUGUAACUGACGCUGAUGUGCGAAAGCGUGGGGAUCAAACAGGAUUAGAUACCCUGGUAGUCCACGCCGUAAACGAUGAGUGCUAAGUGUUAGGGGGUUUCCGCCCCUUAGUGCUGCAGCUAACGCAUUAAGCACUCCGCCUGGGGAGUACGACCGCAAGGUUGAAACUCAAAGGAAUUGACGGGGACCCGCACAAGCGGUGGAGCAUGUGGUUUAAUUCGAAGCAACGCGAAGAACCUUACCAAAUCUUGACAUCCUUUGACAACUCUAGAGAUAGAGCCUUCCCCUUCGGGGGACAAAGUGACAGGUGGUGCAUGGUUGUCGUCAGCUCGUGUCGUGAGAUGUUGGGUUAAGUCCCGCAACGAGCGCAACCCUUAAGCUUAGUUGCCAUCAUUAAGUUGGGCACUCUAAGUUGACUGCCGGUGACAAACCGGAGGAAGGUGGGGAUGACGUCAAAUCAUCAUGCCCCUUAUGAUUUGGGCUACACACGUGCUACAAUGGACAAUACAAAGGGCAGCGAAACCGCGAGGUCAAGCAAAUCCCAUAAAGUUGUUCUCAGUUCGGAUUGUAGUCUGCAACUCGACUACAUGAAGCUGGAAUCGCUAGUAAUCGUAGAUCAGCAUGCUACGGUGAAUACGUUCCCGGGUCU
rnacentral:rRNA from 1 species